GAUGAACGCUGGCGGCGUGCCUAAUACAUGCAAGUCGAGCGAACGGACGAGAAGCUUGCUUCUCUGAUGUUAGCGGCGGACGGGUGAGUAACACGUGGAUAACCUACCUAUAAGACUGGGAUAACUUCGGGAAACCGGAGCUAAUACCGGAUAAUAUUUUGAACCGCAUGGUUCAAAAGUGAAAGACGGUCUUGCUGUCACUUAUAGAUGGAUCCGCGCUGCAUUAGCUAGUUGGUAAGGUAACGGCUUACCAAGGCAACGAUGCAUAGCCGACCUGAGAGGGUGAUCGGCCACACUGGAACUGAGACACGGUCCAGACUCCUACGGGAGGCAGCAGUAGGGAAUCUUCCGCAAUGGGCGAAAGCCUGACGGAGCAACGCCGCGUGAGUGAUGAAGGUCUUCGGGUCGUAACACUCUGUUAUUAGGGAAGAACAUAUGUGUAAGUAACUGUGCACAUCUUGACGGUACCUAAUCAGAAAGCCACGGCUAACUACGU
rnacentral:rRNA from 1 species